rnacentral:rRNA from 1 species
CCCUAUGGGGUGCCUGGUAUGGUAUUCUUUAUUCUGAUGAUGCUCUUAGAAUCGAGACCGAUGAUCAGGGAAACAAGCUAUGGGAUAGGAUACCUGGUGAAGACAGGUCAGUCCAGCAGACCAUUGAUGGCGGGUAUAUCUUUUUGCGAUCUUCAAACAAUGCGGUUUAUACCGGGGAUGAUGCUUAUAGUAAGACGAAGCUAUACAAGACCGAUGACCAGGGAAACAUGAUAUGGUAUAAGGAAAUUAAUGGUAAUUAUGGCCUGUCAGUACAGCAGACCAUUGAUGGCGGGUAUAUCAUUAUUGGCAACCGGCUGAUCAAGACCGAUGACCAGGGAAACAAGAUCUGGGAGAGGUCGUUUGAAGGAUACGGCACGUCAGUCCAGCAGACCCACGAUGGCGGCUAUAUCAUUACGGGCGGGAGGGC